rnacentral:tRNA from 1 species
GGGUGAUUGGCACAGUUGGUUAGCGCGCCUCGUUCACAUCGAGGAGGUCACUGGUUCGAGUCCAGUAUCACCCA